UAGUAAAGCUGCUUAGUGGUCUUACUCACCACUCCCUCUGCCUGAUCACCCUGUCAUUUGUCACCUUCUGAAGUUAUCAAGGAAUAAAAAGCCAGAAUGCUGCACAACGUUGAGCAGUUAGAUCAUGACUCCAAUAGCACCUUCCAUGGUCAAGAGUUAACCCUAUCGGUCCCAUCUCCGUGACUGCGGAAGCCUCACCUUGCAUGUUCAUGGGGUACGGCAGAAGGCUGUGUUGAAACUGUGCCGUGUUAACCUGCCAGGAGCCUGGACACAACUGCAGUCACUCAAACACCAGAGAAGUGAUGCUUUUAUUAGCAGUGCAGUCAUCCCUUCCUUAACAUGUCAUCACUGAGAUUAGGAAGACAAAAUAAAAGCAACAGAAAAGGAAAUUUCCCAU
rnacentral:lncRNA from 1 species